AACGCACAUUGCGCCCUCUGGUAUUCCGGGGGGCACACCCGUCCGAGCGUCAUUAUCACCAAUCGAGCCUGGCUCGGUGUUGGGGAUCGCCCCCGGGGCGUACCCUGAAUUCUCCGGCUGGACCGUUCUGUCCCCCAGCGUUGUGCAACUUUCGCUUAGGGAUUGUUCGGUCUGCGCCGUUAAACCUCUUCUACAGGUUGACCUCGGAUCGGGUGGGGAUACCCGCUGAACUUAA
rnacentral:misc_RNA from 1 species